AGAGUUGCUGCCAUGGUCCAAGUCUUAUCCAUUGCACUCCGGAUAUGCUGACCCUUGGGAAAUCCCCAAAUUCUGGAAACUUGACUGCAUAAUUUGGGUAGUGAGGGACUGCAUUCAUACUUUCCCCAA
ensembl:snRNA U1 U1 spliceosomal RNA